rnacentral:rRNA from 1 species
UACGUAGGGCGCAAGCGUUGUCCGGAAUUAUUGGGCGCAAAGAGCUCGUAGGCGGUUUGUCGCGUCUGCUGUGAAAACCUAAGGCUCAACCUUGGGCUUGCAGUGGGUACGGGCAGACUAGAGUGCGGUAGGGGUGACUGGAAUUCCUGGUGUAGCGGUGGAAUGCGCAGAUAUCAGGAGGAACACCGAUGGCGAAGGCAGGUCACUGGGCCGCAACUGACGCUGGAGGAGCGAAAGCGUGGGGAGCGAACAGG